rnacentral:rRNA from 1 species
GAUUAACGCUGGCGGCGUGCAUAACACAUGCAAGUCGAACGAUGAAACUUUAAUGAACCCUUCGGGGAGAAUUAAAGCGGAUUAUUGGCGAACGGGUGAGUAACGCUUGAGUAACCUGCCUUACACAAGGGGAUAGCCUUUGGACACGAAGAAUAAUACCCUAUAAAACCAUAAAAGCACAUGCAAUUAUGGUCAAAGUGAUAGCGGUGUAAGAUGGACUUGCGUCUGAUUAGCUAGUUGGUGAGAUAAAAGCCCACCAAGGCAACGAUCAGUAGCCGGCUUGAAAAAAUGUACGGGCACAUUGGGACUGGGACACGGCCCAGACUCCUACGAGAGGCAGCAGUGGGGAAUUUUGCACAAUGGGGGAAACCCGGAUGCAGCGACGCCGCGUGAUUUAGAAGGCCUUCGGGUUGUAAAAAGCUUUUGUAUAGGAAGAAAAUGACAGUACUAUACGAAUAAGGUCCGGCUAAUUACGUG